rnacentral:rRNA from 1 species
UACGGGGGGGGCAAGCGUUGUUCGGAAUUACUGGGCGUAAAGGGCUCGUAGGUGGCCAACUAAGUCAGACGUGAAAUCCCUCAGCUUAACUGGGGAACUGCGUCUGAUACUGGAUGGCUUGAGUUUGGGAGAGGGAUGCGGAAUUCCAGGUGUAGCGGUGAAAUGCGCAGAUAUCGGGAGGAACACCAAUGGCGAAGGCAGCUCGCUGGGACGGUACUGACGCUGAGACGCGAAAGCGUGGGGAGCAAACAGG